rnacentral:rRNA from 1 species
UACGUAGGUCGCAAGCGUUGUCCGGAAUCAUUGGGCGUAAAGCGCGUGUAGGCGGCUCGGUAAGUCCGCUGUGAAAGUCGGGGGCUCAACCCUCGGAUGCCGGUGGAUACUGUCGGGCUAGAGUACGGAAGAGGCGAGUGGAAUUCCUGGUGUAGCGGUGAAAUGCGCAGAUAUCAGGAGGAACACCAAUUGCGAAGGCAGCUCGCUGGGACGUUACUGACGCUGAGACGCGAAAGCGUGGGGAGCAAACAGG